CAUGCCUAAGACAUGCAAGUCGAACGAGACGACCUUUGGAAGACUGAGUGCUUGCACAAAGUUAGAAGAAGAUCAUCGUCUAGUGGCAGACGGGUGAGUAACACGUAGGUAACCUACCUCAAGCUGGGGAUAACGUUUGGAAACGAACGCUAAUACCGAAUAAGAUAUAGCAAUAUAUUGAAAGAAGCCUUUAAAGCUUCACUUAGAGAUGGGCCUGCGGCGUAUUAACUAGUUGGUGAGGUAAUGGCUCACCAAGGUAACGAUGCGUAGCCGAACUGAGAGGUUGAACGGCCACACUGGGACUGAGACACGGCCCAGACUCCUACGGGAGACAGCAGUUAGGAAUAUUCGUCAAUGGGGGAAACCCUGAACGAGCAAUGCCGCGUGAGUGAUGAAGGCCCUAUGGGUUGUAAAACUCUGUUGUAUGGGAAGAAUGGCUAUAUUAGGAAAUGAAUAUAGAAUGACGGUACCAUACCAGAAAGCUCCGGCUAACUACGUG
rnacentral:rRNA from 1 species